rnacentral:rRNA from 1 species
AUUAGAUACCCUGGUAGUCCACGCCGUAAACGAUGUCGACUUGGAGGUUGUUCCCUUGAGGAGUGGCUUCCGGAGCUAACGCGUUAAGUCGACCGCCUGGGGAGUACGGCCGCAAGGUUAAAACUCAAAUGAAUUGACGGGGGCCCGCACAAGCGGUGGAGCAUGUGGUUUAAUUCGAUGCAACGCGAAGAACCUUACCUACUCUUGACAUCCAGCGAACUUUCCAGAGAUGGAUUGGUGCCUUCGGGAACGCUGAGACAGGUGCUGCAUGGCUGUCGUCAGCUCGUGUUGUGAAAUGUUGGGUUAAGUCCCGCAACGAGCGCAACCCUUAUCCUUUGUUGCCAGCGAUUCGGUCGGGAACUCAAAGGAGACUGCCGGUGAUAAACCGGAGGAAGGUGGGGAUGACGUCAAGUCAUCAUGGCCCUUACGAGUAGGGCUACACACGUGCUACAAUGGCGCAUACAAAGAGAAGCGACCUCGCGAGAGCAAGCGGACCUCAUAAAGUGCGUCGUAGUCCGGAUCGGAGUCUGCAACUCGACUCCGUGAAGUCGGAAUCGCUAGUAAUCGUGGAUCAGAAUGCCACGGUGAAUACGUUCCCGGGCCUUGUACACACCGCCCGUCACACCAUGGGAG